AAGUAUAAGCAAUUAUACCGUGAAACUGCGAAUGGCUCAUUAAAUCAGUUAUCGUUUAUUUGAUAGUACCUUACUACUUGGAUAACCGUGGUAAUUCUAGAGCUAAUACAUGCUAAAAACCCCGACUUCGGGAGGGGUGUAUUUAUUAGAUAAAAAACCAAUGCCCUUCGGGGCUCUUUGGUGAUUCAUGAUAACUUAACGGAUCGCAUGGCCUUGCGCCGGCGACGGUUCAUUCAAAUUUCUGCCCUAUCAACUUUCGAUGGUAAGGUAUUGGCUUACCAUGGUUUCAACGGGUAACGGGGAAUUAGGGUUCGAUUCCGGAGAGGGAGCCUGAGAAACGGCUACCACAUCCAAGGAAGGCAGCAGGCGCGCAAAUUACCCAAUCCCGACACGGGGAGGUAGUGACAAUAAAUACUGAUACAGGGCUCUUUUGGGUCUUGUAAUCGGAAUGAGUACAAUUUAAACCCCUUAACGAGGAACAAUUGGAGGGCAAGUCUGGUGCCAGCAGCCGCGGUAAUUCCAGCUCCAAUAGCGUAUAUUAAAGUUGUUGCAGUUAAAAAGCUCGUAGUUGAACCUUGGGCCUGGCUGGCCGGUCCGCCUCACCGCGUGUACUGGUCCGGCCGGGCCUUUCCUUCUGGAGAGCCGCAUGCCCUUCACUGGGCGUGUCGGGGAACCAGGACUUUUACUUUGAAAAAAUUAGAGUGUUCAAAGCAGGCCUUUGCUCGAAUACGUUAGCAUGGAAUAAUAGAAUAGGACGCGCGGUCCUAUUUUGUUGGUUUCUAGGACCGCCGUAAUGAUUAAUAGGGAUAGUCGGGGGCAUCAGUAUUCAAUUGUCAGAGGUGAAAUUCUUGGAUUUAUUGAAGACUAACUACUGCGAAAGCAUUUGCCAAGGAUGUUUUCAUUAAUCAGUGAACGAAAGUUAGGGGAUCGAAGACGAUCAGAUACCGUCGUAGUCUUAACCGUAAACUAUGCCGACUAGGGAUCGGGCGGUGUUUCAAUAUUGACCCGCUCGGCACCUUACGAGAAAUCAAAGUUUUUGGGUUCUGGGGGGA
rnacentral:rRNA from 1 species